GAACUGAAGAGUUUGAUCAUGGCUCAGAUUGAACGCUGGCGGCAGGCCUAACACAUGCAAGUCGAGCGGAUGAAGGGGGCUUGCUCCUGGAUUCAGCGGCGGACGGGUGAGUAAUGCCUAGGAAUCUGCCUGGUAGUGGGGGAUAACGUCCGGAAACGGGCGCUAAUACCGCAUACGUCCUGAGGGAGAAAGUGGGGGAUCUUCGGACCUCACGCUAUCAGAUGAGCCUAGGUCGGAUUAGCUAGUUGGUGGGGUAAAGGCCUACCAAGGCGACGAUCCGUAACUGGUCUGAGAGGAUGAUCAGUCACACUGGAACUGAGACAC
rnacentral:rRNA from 1 species